rnacentral:rRNA from 1 species
AUUGAACGCUGGCGGCAGGCCUAACACAUGCAAGUCGAGCGGGGUUUUCGGACCUAGCGGCGGACGGGUGAGUAAUGCGUAGGAAGCUGCCCGAUAGAGGGGGAUACCAGUUGGAAACGACUGUUAAUACCGCAUAAUGUCUACGGACCAAAGUGUGGGACCUUCGGGCCACAUGCUAUCGGAUGCGCCUACGUGGGAUUAGCUAGUUGGUGAGGUAAUGGUCCACCAAGGCGACGAUCUCUAGCUGGUUUGAGAGGAUGAUCAGCCACACUGGAACUGAGACACGGUCCAGACUCCUACGGGAGGCAGCAGUGGGGAAUAUUGGACAAUGGGCGCAAGCCUGAUCCAGCCAUGCCGCGUGUGUGAAGAAGGCCUUCGGGUUGUAAAACACUUUCAGCGAGGAGGAAGAGGUUGUAGUUAAUAGCUGCAACCUUUGACGUUACUCGCAGAAGAAGCACCGGCUAACUCUGUGCCAGCCGCCGCCGUAAAAC